AUAUACUUGUAUGGGGAAGUAACUGAUGCCAUGCUUCCAAGAAAAGCUUCUAAGCUUCAGUCAGUAAGGGAUCGUACCCGAAACCGACACAGGUGGUCAGGUCGAGAAGACUAAGGCGCUUGAGAGAACUCUGGUGAAGGAACUAGGCAAAAUAGUACCGUAACUUCGGGAGAAGGUACGCUGUUGAUGGUGAAGGAUUUACUCCGUAAGCUAUCGGCAGCCUCAGAAACUAGGCCGCUGCAACUGUUUAUUAAAAACACAGCACUCUGCAAACACGAAAGUGGACGUAUAGGGUGUGAUGCCUGCCCGGUGCUGGAAGGUUAAUUGAUGGGGUUAGCGAAAGCGAAGCUCUUGAUCGAAGCCCCAGUAAACGGCGGCCGUAACAAUAACGGUCCUAAGGUAGCGAAAUUCCUUGUCGGGUAAGUUCCGACCUGCACGAAUGGCAUAAUGAUGGCGGCGCUGUCUCCACCAGAGACUCAGUGAAAUCGAAAUCGCGGUGAAGAUGCCGUGUACCCGCGGCUAGACGGAAAGACCCCGUGAACCUUUACUGCAGCUUUGCACUGAACUUUGACCUUACUUGUGUAGGAUAGGUGGGAGGCUUUGAAGCUCGGACGCUAGUUCGAGUGGAGCCAUCCUUGAAAUACCACCCUGGUAAUGUCGAGGUUCUAACCCAGAUCCGUUAUCCGGAUCGGGGACAGUGUAUGGUGGGUAGUUUGACUGGGGCGGUCUCCUCCUAAAGAGUAACGGAGGAGUACGAAGGUGCGCUCAGCGUGGUCGGAAAUCACGCAAUGAGUAUAAAGGCAAAAGCGCGCUUAACUGCGAGACCGACAAGUCGAGCAGGUACGAAAGUAGGUCUUAGUGAUCCGGUGGUUCUGUAUGGAAGGGCCAUCGCUCAACGGAUAAAAGGUACUCUGGGGAUAACAGGCUGAUACCGCCCAAGAGUUCAUAUCGACGGCGGUGUUUGGCACCUCGAUGUCGGCUCAUCUCAUCCUGGGGCUGAAGCAGGUCCCAAGGGUAUGGCUGUUCGCCAUUUAAAGAGGUACGCGAGCUGGGUUUAGAACGUCGUGAGACAGUUCGGUCCCUAUCUACCGUGGGCGUUGGAGACUUGAGAGGAUCUGCUUCUAGUACGAGAGGACCGAAGUGGACGUACCUCUGGUGUUCGGGUUGUCACGCCAGUGGCACUGCCUGGUAGCUAUGUACGGACGGGAUAACCGCUGAAAGCAUCUAAGCGGGAAGCCCACCUUAAG
rnacentral:rRNA from 1 species